rnacentral:rRNA from 1 species
GACGAACGCUGGCGGCGUGCCUAACACAUGCAAGUCGAACGGAGAUUUUAUGGAAUGCGACUUCGGUCAAAUGAAAUUUAAUCUUAGUGGCGGACGGGUGAGUAACACGUGAGCAACCUGCCUUUCAGAGGGGAAUAACGGCUGGAAACGGUCGCUAAUACCGCAUAACAUACACUUAAGGCAUCUUUAGUGUAUCAAAGAUUUUAUCGCUGAAAGAUGGGCUCGCGUCUGAUUAGCUAGUUGGUGAGGUAAUGGCUCACCAAGGCGACGAUCCAGUAGCCGGACUGAGAGGUUGAACGGCCACAUUGGGACUGAGACACGGCCCAG